CAAGUGAGGAAGCGCCAGUUAGUGUAGCGACCGUGGAGUGCUUGGAAGCGCGCUAUGUCUAACCGCGUAGACUCAGAUCAAAGGAACUAGCUAGAAAAAUAAGGCGAGCGCUUCAUCAAAUAUCUAAGAAAUAACGAACGGCAAGUUCAUUCGAUGAAUUGUCCAAUACAAAAUGUUGCGACGUGACGCCGAAAGCGAAUCAUUUUGUGACGGUGAAUCGGUAGUGAUGAUCAAGGAACCUAGCGGUCAACGUCGUUCCUAUAGCCAUCGUUGAGGGACCUCAUUCGGUACUAUGGCUGAUAGCUGACGGAUGGAUUUCUCACGCUUUACGUUCUUGAAGCGUCGUCCACCGGGCUGAGGAUCGAAGAACAGUGGAAGGAUGUUGGGAAGCGUCGGAGGCCGGCACGUGUCUACGCGUCGGCGUGGCAGUAGCCCGCAGGUGCGUGGAGGUGCGGGCCUCACUUUUCAUGGAGCUGCUGGGCCUAAUAAUUCAAACGAUGCCACCGGAGGAAUGCCGCCGGACGCUCCGAUUUAUGCUGCUAGAAGAAGGAGGGCUGUUACCACCAGUGAUUACAAGAGUUGUGCCCUCGUACAGACUCGGCUCAAAUUUGG